GGGCGGAAGCCUGAUGCAGCAACGCCGCGUGAGGGAUGACGGCCUUCGGGUUGUAAACCUCUUUUAGCAGGGAAGAAGCGAGAGUGACGGUACCUGCAGAAAAAGCGCCGGCUAACUACGUGCCAGCAGCCGCGGUAAUACGUAGGGCGCAAGCGUUAUCCGGAAUUAUUGGGCGUAAAGAGCUCGUAGGCGGUCUGUCGCGUCUGCUGUGAAAACCCGAGGCUCAACCUCGGGCCUGCAGUGGGUACGGGCAGACUAGAGUGCGGUAGGGGAGAUUGGAAUUCCUGGUGUAGCGGUGGAAUGCGCAGAUAUCAGGAGGAACACCGAUGGCGAAGGCAGAUCUCUGGGCCGUAACUGACGCUGAGGAGCGAAAGGGUGGGGAGCAAACAGGCUUAGAUACCCUGGUAGUCCACCCCGUAAACGUUGGGAACUAGUUGUGGGGACCUUUCCACGGUCUCCGUGACGCAGCUAACGCAUUAAGUUCCCCGCCUGGGGA
rnacentral:rRNA from 1 species